CUUGCCACUUUUGGUUCCGGAAUUUGCCAUCUGAUUGGGGGUUACUUAAGUCAGCUUGGAUCGGUCAUUCGUCUCGGUUGGUAAGCCGAAGCCGGAAGACCGUUGCCGGAACACACAAAAAAGAACGAUCGUAUUGCAACCCGUCGAACUCUCAUGCUACUCUGAUUCUCGAGGGCGUGGGCACGGAGUGGCUUCCACAAUAGCAUUAGCAGUCUGCUCGUCUGGGGACGGGUGAUGGGUGAAAGGAGGGUGAAGGUCAGGGUAGGCAAUCGAAUUUCGUGUUCACCACGUCUUAUUGUUCUGCUUCAUCCUGGUCUUUUCUUUCUGUAACAACACUCGCUCCUACCCACUUGAGUGUCUUGUUGCUUUCGUAGCCGUUCCUGAAGUUCGUGGCUUGGCAAAGUGCGUACACUGAGUUAAUGUCACCGAUAAAAUCAGCAUUUGAACGCCACCGUCGCGCUGUGUUGUAGUUGCGUUUUCGACGGUAAACAACGACAAACUUCGAGCCGUUCUCUGUUCAUAUCCUGAGAUUGUAGUGUUUGUGACAGGAGUCGUUUAACGAAAGUCUACAAAAAAUCGUAGGAUAACACAAGAAACCGUGGCAUCGCAGAGGAAUCUGUUGAAGGAACUCGAUAUAAGAAGACCACUCUAGGCCUCGUAAAAGCGACAUGUGAGGAAUUGGAAAGAAAAGCGCCAGGCAGUGCGUACUGAGGACGCGGUCAAACUGGGCCGAUGAUAGUAGCUAACGUAUAACCAGUCUAGAGAUCCAGUAGGUGCUUACGUUCUACAGUCGUGUGUAAUAGUUCACGCCGAAGAUUACGAGCCGGCAACAGACGUCUACUGACCGAUUGGGUAAACGUUUCCGUUUCUAAGUCACGCACUGGCUGGUCAAAGACUGUGACAGUUUUUGUUGGUUCCGAUAAACAACGGUCAGAGACCUUCUCAGCGAUCGUUGGGUGCCCAUAUCUACAAGCAGCAAAUGGUCGACAUCGCGGCCUUCAGUGACUAACUCCAUCGAAUAGGCAGGUCCUUGAAAGGAGAUUGGUAUCGUGGUCAUUUGCAUUGCAACAACAGAUCUCACGUCUCACUGAUAGGCAGGUGUUACAGACAAGAUUAGGUUCGGCAUUUGAAGAUCUUCUUCUUAUGACACAAAUUGCUCACUUCACAAAACAUCAACAUUUACGGCCCUAACCAAUCUUUCUCUAUAAACUUCUGAAAUUUCAAGCUGGCAAGACAAUGUGAUAAUUAUACUAUAAAAAAGUAUCGAACGGCGCAUCCGAUUGCUGAAGGUGACACCAAUAUGGUAUAAUGAAGAUCUUGCUUGCCGUAACACACAUAUCUAUCAGGACUCAAAAGCAGUAGCACGUAGCAAAUAGAAGUUCUAUUUGGGAAUAAGUUAUUUAGCAUAUCUUUAGUUACCUUUUGAAUAUUUUUGGUUCAUUAUUCUGCUUAACGAAGCCGUUUUUC